rnacentral:rRNA from 1 species
AGUGAACGCUGGCGGUAGGCCUAACACAUGCAAGUCGAACGGCAGCACAGUAAGAGCUUGCUCUUACGGGUGGCGAGUGGCGGACGGGUGAGGAAUACAUCGGAAUCUACUUUUUCGUGGGGGAUAACGUAGGGAAACUUACGCUAAUACCGCAUACGACCUACGGGUGAAAGCAGGGGAUCUUCUGACCUUGCGCGAUUGAAUGAGCCGAUGUCGGAUUAGCUAGUUGGCGGGGUAAAGGCCCACCAAGGCGAGGAUCCGUAGCUGGUCUGAGAGGAUGGUAGGCGACACGGGAGCUGAGCCACGGUCCAGAGUCCUACGGGAGGCAGCAGUGGGGAAUAUUGGACAAUGGGGGCAAGCCUGAUCCAGUCAUACCGCGUGGGUGAAGAAGGCCUUCGGGUUGUAAAGACCUUCUGUUGGGAAAGAAAAGCAGUAGGUUAAUACCCCGCUGUUCUGACGGUACCCAAAGAAUAAGCACCGGCUAACUUCGUG